rnacentral:lncRNA from 1 species
AAUGGCACUGACGAAUUUCAGAUUCGAUGCACGGUUUUCGAGAAAAAGGAGUUUUACCGAAAAGAGGGUUUCUGCUCUUUGCUAUUCGUGCAUUUUAAAACUCCUCGUGCUUUGUACAAGUGAUCUGGAGAUAGGUGAGAGUUGUUUCUGGUACCUACUGGUGGUAGGGAAUUCAAAUUUGAAUUUGAAUUAAAGAUUUAGGGUUAUGCUUUGGUAUAUGUGCGAUAUACGGAUUAACUAGAGAGCGGAUGGGUUCCGUCGCGAAUCCGUGACCAAAUCGGACGAAUCAACAUUGUAGUUUUGAUGCCCCCGACGUGCUGAACGCAAUGGUACUGUCGGAUCGAAAAUCCGACGGAUGGAUCUCCGGGAAUUACGAGAUUUUCGCUGAGGGGUCAAUGUGGCAAAACGGAUAAAUCGCGAAG